rnacentral:lncRNA from 1 species
UUGCAUCUACACAUUACGCCGGAGAUGAGUUUGCGAGGAUUGCAUCGGAGAUGAUGGGAAUAAGUUUAUGGGUUUUGUUCCAGUUUUUUAAUGUCAUUCAUAGUAAGGUCACAUAUUUGAUGAUUUGCUUAAAUGAAGACUUGGAUUUUUAUUAUUGAACUUGAAGAUUUACAUAUAUAAAUAGUAUAUUUACAUAAUGGUAUAUUUACACAUAGGUAUUUGAUUACAUACAUCUAAACAACACUUAUAAUUUUGUUUUGAAAGAAAUUUUGCCUCUUUAUUUGAUUUAAGAAGAUUUACAU